CAAAUAUACCGGUAUUACUAAACAACAGUGUUCUAGCGAUUUAUGGCCUUUAACCACAGCGAUUUAACCACAGCAUUUGGUUACUAAGGCGGUUGCUAUGGGCCAAUUUCAAUAUUAGGCAACUUUGAUUAAAAAAUUUACCCCUAAGAAACUCACAUACGACAAAAAUAUAAUGCUAGCAUGAAAGUGCAUAUGAUGGAG